rnacentral:rRNA from 1 species
UAGGGAAUCUUCGGCAAUGGGGGGAACCCUGAACGAGCAACGCCGCGUGAGUGAAGAAGGUUUUCGGAUCGUAAAGCUCUGUUGUUAAGGAAGAACGAGUGUGAGAAUGGAAAGUUCAUACUGUGACGGUACUUAACCAGAAAGGGACGGCUAACUACGUGCCAGCAGCCGCGGUAAUACGUAGGUCCCGAGCGUUGUCCGGAUUUAUUGGGCGUAAAGCGAGCGCAGGCGGUUAGAUAAGUCUGAAGUUAAAGGCAGUGGCUCAACCAUUGUAGGCUUUGGAAACUGUUUAACUUGAGUGCAGAAGGGGAGAGUGGAAUUCCAUGUGUAGCGGUGAAAUGCGUAGAUAUAUGGAGGAACACCGGUGGCGAAAGCGGCUCUCUGGUCUGUAACUGACGCUGAGGCUCGAAAGCGUGGGGAGCGAACAGG